UGAGAUCUGUAAGUGACGAAAAAUAUGAUUUCAACUAAGGAAACUCAUUACAAUCUUCAUCUUUAAUGGUGUGAUAAUCGCAGGCAGAAAAAAAAUAAGGAAGAAUUCAAGUUUAUUACCCAUCUGAACUUAAAACACAUAUCAAGCAUAGAUAUCUACGAUUGUUGCACCAUCCUACUCCUUGAGAUCAGAACUCACUAACAGCCAAAGAGGAGAUUCAACUUUGAGCUCAUAACAACCCAAGAGGAUUUGUAGGGUUUCGUAUGGUAGAGAACCUUCGGCUGAGUUAUUUGGAAUGACUUUCGAAACCCUAAGGUUGGAGUUUCAAAAUCCCCUUUUUCAGGUUGGAAUUUUGAAACCCUAACUUCUACCUUCUUUUUCAGGUUGAGAAUCAAUUGGGGAUUGAUCGGAAUUGAUCCGGAUAGGGUAUUCGGCCAUAUGGUUUUGAGGGGUUAAAAGGUUAAGAUGGAUUUGGAUAACCCUAAAGAUUUAUAGCCAUUGGAUUGACUAUUGUACACAUGUCACUCAGAGGGAGGGAAUAGGACAAGAAUUGAAGGGGCGAGCAUUGAAGACGAGCCGAAUCCUAGUUAUUUUAUUCCUAACUGGAAUGCCUCUAAUUUGUUUUACAUUUUCAGGCUCUUAUUUCUGAUUGCAUCUGCUCCACGCACACAACAAGCUCGAAGGAAGCAGAUCAGAAUUCUUCCCGUGGUAGGUCUUCUACAGGAAAAAGCUACUGAUACUAGUUCUAGUUGUGAAGAAGCAUAUCAAAUCUGAUCCAGAGCAGUUUCUCCAUUUUCUAUUUUGAAUGUAGAGGUAAGAGCCCAAAAAAAUGUGGAAGUUCUCACACAAAAGGCCUUUUCUUUCCAUAGUUCGAAAUGAGUUCAAUAGAACAAGGCCGGCUUCUCUCAAAUCCGCUAGGUUCUGCAGCUCAGGACCCACCAAAGAUAACGAGGAGUAUUCUCGCGAGAUAUGCAAUCUUCUUAAAUUUGACAAUUGGCAGAUGCUGAUGCAAACAUCGGAUAUACCGAAGAAGCUGAACCCAGAAGUUGUUUCUAAUGUUCUUCAGCAUAACCAGGUGGGUAACCCAAAACGCAUCCUCGAUUUCUUCAACUGGUCUGAAACUCAAAUGGGUGUUCCUCAAAAUUUGACUUUAUAUUCGAUUCUGGCCGUGAAUCUCUGUAAGACUAACUCUUUUGGACCUGCCAAUCGUUUACUGGAACGAAUGAUAAAAACCCAUCGGGCCCCUUCAGCUAUUGUGGCUUCUAUUCUUUGCAACUAUAGAAACUGUGAAGGUGAUGGAGCUAAGGUGUUUGAUAUAUUAAUUGACACUUAUAAGAAGAUGGGUAUGUUCGGCGAAGCUGCUGAUGCUUUUUUAGCUGCUAAAAAUGGCAAUGUUUUGCCUAGUUUACGGUGCUGUAAUUCUCUCUUGAAAGAUCUGUUGAAGGAUAAUAUGAUUGGGAUGUUUUGGAAGGUCUACGAUGGAAUGUUGGAGGCCAAAAUAUCUCCCGAUGUUUACACAUAUACCAGUGUGAUUGGAGCUUUAUGUAAGGCAGGGAACAUCAAGGAGGCAAAGAGGGUUCUGUUUGAAAUGGGGGAGAAGGGUUGCAGUCCCAGCUCGGUUACUUACAAUGUGGUUAUUGGAGGCUUAUGUAGGGCUGGGGAUCUUGAUGAUGCUUUUGAGUUGAAGAAAUCCAUGGUAGAGAAACGUUUGGUCCCAGAUAGCUAUACGUACACCACGCUUAUUAAUGGCUUUUGCAAUAAGAAGAGGUUUGAAGAAGCAAAACUGAUGUUAGCAGAGAUGUCUGAAAAGGGUCUGAAUCCUGGUCAUUAUCCCUACAUGGCUUUGAUGGAUGGGUUCAUGAGAGAUGGUCACAUAGAAGAGGCUUUCAAAAUUAAGGAUGAGAUGAUGGCACAGGGUGUUCAACUCAAUCUUGACACAUAUAACAUACUUAUUCAUGGAGUCUGUAAAGCUCGUAAAAUUGAAAAGGGACAUGAACUUCUGAAUGAGAUGAUUGAAAUGGGAUGGUUACCUGAUUCCAGGACGUAUACUUUGUUGAUUGAAGGCUAUUGCCGUGUGCAGAAUACAGGCCAGGCCUUUCAGCUACUUGAUGAGAUGAAGAGGCAGAAUUUAUCACCCUCAAUGCGGACUUACAGUGUAAUAAUUAAUGGGCUAUGCCAAUGUGGGGAUUUCCCUCGAGUUAAUGGUGUUUUGGCAGAGAUGGUUUCCAGGGGUUUCAAGCCUAAUGCUAUUGUAUACACAAAUCUUAUUACAGGAUACUGUCGUGUAGGUAAAAUUGAAGAGGCAAGGAGGGUCUUCAAGGAAAUGAGUGAGAAAGGGGUGGAACCAGAUGUAUUUUGCUACAAUUCUCUUCUAAUUGGCCUCUGCAAAGCCAAGAAGAUGAAAGAAGCAAGAAUCUACUUAGAAGAAAUGGUGGAGAGUGGAUUGAAUCCAAAUGCUUUUACUUAUGGGGCUUUCAUUGAAGGCCAUAGUAACUCAGGUGAAAUGCUGGAGGCUGGCAGGUAUUUUUCUGAGAUGCUAGAACGUGGUCUGAUGCCAAAUGAUGCUAUUUAUACAAUCUUAAUUAGUGGGCACUGUAGAGUAGGGAAGGGAGAGGAGGCAUUGUCAACAUAUCGAAAUAUGCUUGGACGAGGGAUUCUCCCAGACCUGAAAACUUAUAGUGUUCUCAUUCAUGGUCUCUCAGAGAAUGGAAAAGUUCAUGAGGCUAUAGGGGUCCUCUUGGAACUUCAAGAGCGGGGUUUGUCUCCCGAUGCUUUCAUUUACAAUUCACUUAUCUUUGGGUUCUGUAAGCAAGGUGAAAUUCAAAAAGCUUUCCAACUUUGUGAUGAGAUGCGUAGGAGGGGUAUUGAACCAAGCAUAAUUACUUACAAUUCAUUGAUCAAUGGCUUAAGCAAGUCAGAUGAUCUUGAGAGAGCUAGAGAAUUGUUUGACAGCAUCUCAGUAUUAGGUUUAGUGCCCAACACUGUGACUUACACCACAAUGAUAGAUGGCUACUGUAAAUCAGGAAGUGUUACCGAGGCAUUUAAAUUAUUCAAUGAGAUGCUGAUAAAGGGGAUCCCUCCAGACAGUUUUCUUUACAGUGCCCUGGUUGAUGGUUGCUGCAAGGAAGGUAACAUGACGAAGGCUAUGGAAUUGUUUCAUGAAAUGUUGAAGAAGGGCUUUGCUACUACGCGUGCUUUCAACACUUUAAUUCAUGGGUUCGCAAAGAUUGGAGAGCUGCAUGAAAUCAACAAAUUGUUGGAAGAGAUGACUGAUAAGCAGGUCAUACCUGAUCACGUGACAUACACUAUUGUGAUUGACUGCUACUGCAAGUUGGGAAUGAUGGAGGAUGCAAACCGGCUCCUCUUGGAGAUGCAGGAAAAGAAUCUGAUACCGAAUGCUGUAACAUACACAUCACUAAUAGACAGUUACACGAGGCAAGGUAACUCAUCAAAGGCAACGGAAUUAUUUGAGGAGAUGGUGGCAAAGGGCAUAAAGCCAGAUGAAGUCACCUUUGGUGUCAUGGAAAAUGGUCUACACAAAGAAAAGGAAUUGAUUCAGAUAAGUUCAUCAACAUCUGCUUAGAUUGCAGAUAUUAGGACAGAGAUACCCAGGCAACAGAUCAGGCUCUUGAUCAGAAGCAGCUACAGCAUCAACAUCAAGAAGAGAUGGUUCUGGGCAAAUUUAGGUGGCUUGGGGCAGGUUAGGAGAGGUGCAACAUCUGGUCAAACCUAAUACUCUACACCUGAAUUCGACCCAUUUAACAAUCAGGCUAGUGGGUUGAACUCGAUUAAAGCCCAUUUAUUAAUUUGUCGGGUUUACUUAGGCUUUGUUACUACUUCUAUACUCCUUUGUAUUCACUACUCCCCACUAGCAUGCACAAGUCUUUACCUUGGAGGGAGAGAGAGAGAGAGGUACUAAUGGGUUUUUUAUUUCCGUUUCAUAGAAGUUCAUCAACAUCUGCUCAUAACACCGAUGAUGAGGCAACAGAUCAGGCUCUUGAUCAAGCUCUUGAUCUGAAGCAGCUGUAGCAACAAGAAGAUGUAGAGAUGGGAAGUUCAUCAACAUCUGCUCAGAUUGCAGAUGCUCAGGACACAGAAGCUCAGGAAACGAUCAGGCUCUUGAUCAGAAGCAGUUACAGCAACAACAUCAAGAAGAGAUGUUGAGUUUUACUUUCAGAACUGGACAACUCUCAACUGUACACAUUUUCCACUGUUUUUAAAGGUUUAGAUGGUCGGGUUCAGACUGGGCUAUGGCUGGUUUAGCAAUAAUGGUUUUUUAGGGCUUCGGGCUUCCAGGCUGGCCUGGAAUUUCCUUUGCCUAACCAGCCCAUGUAUAAUUAUGUGCUUUCAUGAUGUUUGUUCUCUUUAAAUUA